GACGAACGCUGGCGGCGUGCUUAACACAUGCAAGUCGAACGGAAAGGCCCUGCUUUUGUGGGGCGCUCGAGUGGCGAACGGGUGAGUAACACGUGAGUAACCUGCCCUUGACUUUGGGAUAACUUCAGGAAACUGGGGCUGAUACCGGAUAGGAGCUCCUGCUGCAUGGUGGGGGUUGGAAAGUUUCGGCGGUUGGGGAUGGACUCGCGGCUUAUCAGCUUGUUGGUGGGGUAGUGGCUUACCAAGGCUUUGACGGGUAGCCGGCCUGAGAGGGUGACCGGCCACAUUGGGACUGAGAUACGGCCCAGACUCCUACGGGAGGCAGCAGUGGGGAAUAUUGCACAAUGGGCGGAAGCCUGAUGCAGCAACGCCGCGUGCGGGAUGACGGCCUUCGGGUUGUAAACCGCUUUCGCCUGUGACGAAGCGUGAGUGACGGUAAUGGGUAAAGAAGCACCGGCUAACUACGUG
rnacentral:rRNA from 1 species